GCGCUCACUUUGGCAGCACAUAUACUCAAAUUAGAACAGUAUAGAGAUUAGCACGGCCCCUACGCAAGGAUGGCAUGCACAUUUGUGAAGCAUUGCAUUUUUUU